rnacentral:rRNA from 1 species
GACGAACGCUGGCGGCGUGCUUAACACAUGCAAGUCGAGCGGUAAGGCCCUUCGGGGUACACGAGCGGCGAACGGGUGAGUAACACGUGGGUGACCUGCCCUCCACUUCGGGAUAAGCCCGGGAAACUGGGUCUAAUACCGGACAGGACCAUUGCAUGCAUGUGCGGUGGUGGAAAGCCUGUGUCUUGAUUGAUGCUGGCGGUGGGGGAUGGGCCCGCGGUCUAUCAGCNGUUGGUGGGGUGAUGGCCUACCAAGGCGACGACGGAUAGCCGGCCUGAGAGGGUGAUCGGCCACACUGGGACUGAGACACGGCCCAGACUCCUACGGGAGGCAGCAGUGGGGAAUCUUGCGCAAUGGGCGGAAGCCUGACGCAGCAACGCCGCGUGAGGGAUGACGGCCUCGGUU